rnacentral:rRNA from 1 species
AUUGAACGCUGGCGGCAUGCCUUACACAUGCAAGUCGAACGGUAACAGGUUAAGCUGACGAGUGGCGAACGGGUGGGUAAUGUAUCGGAACGUGCCCAGUCGUGGGGGAUAACUGCUCGAAAGAGCAGCUAAUACCGCAUACGACCUGAGGGUGAAAGCGGGGGAUCGCAAGACCUCGCGCGAUUGGAGCGGCCGAUAUCAGAUUAGGUAGUUGGUGAGGUAAAGGCUCAACAAGCCGACGAUCUGUAGCUGGUCUGAGAGGACGACCAGCCACACGGGGACUGAGACACGGCCCAGACUCCUACGGGAGGCAGCGGUGGGGAAUUUUGGACAAUGGGCGCAAGCCUGAUCCAGCCAUGCCGCGUGCGGGAAGAAGGCCUUCGGGUUGUAAACCGCUUUUGUCAGGGAAGAAAAGGUUCUGGCUAAUACCUGGGACUCAUGACGGUACCUGAAGAAUAAGCACCGGCUAACUACGUGCCAGCAGCCGCCGUAACAC